UCGAUCAGCGAGAUUAGUUACUAUGUCUUGUCUCCUCGAUCGAUCGUUCGUUCGUUCGUUCGUUGGUUCGUUUCGCGACGGACACGAUACCGGAAUGUCAUAAUAGCAAAUUGUCGCGGCGCGAUCCGUCGCGAUGCGGGCACCGAACGAGUCCGAAUACGUGUGCGUGUGCGUGUGUAUAGUUAACGAUCGCUCGGCUGUACAUAGUUUGUCUCCCGUGGCUAGUCCGGAAUUAAUCGCUGUUAAAGGGGGGAAAAAGCGCAUGAUCAAUUUAUCGAGUUGACGGACGAUUAUCGGCGAUCGGGAAAAUUUCAGCGGGAUUAUCAGCCGUUUAUGACAGAAUCCGGUUGCUCUGCCUUUAGUUUAAUUUCACAUUUACGCUUAUCCAAUAGGACGUGUUACAUUAUCUUCUACGUAAAUUCGUUCAAGCGUUUAUUUGCUAAAAUUAUAAUAAAGUUGAGUUUAGCUUCGAAUAAAUUCCACGGCGUCCGUUGUUUCUACAUUUUGCCGUUGCAACGAAUGAACGAUCGAAUACCAUUUCGAUUGCCCUGGGUAAUCGCGAUUCAAUCGGCUGUCUCGAUGCAGAAAAAUCGAACUGAUAAUGCCGAUGGAUCGAUUCGUUUUAGAAAGCAUCGAUCGAGCCUCGAAGAUAAAUUUGGCCCGGCGAAAGAAUUUCUCCCUUCGAUCGCGAACGUCGAUGUCGCUUGUCCGAUGAAAAGAUGCCAUAAAUUCGCUGUUUUUUUCAUCGGUUGAACGAAAGAAAUACAAUCGGCCUAAUGGAUUUUCGUCGAGCAGCAGAGAGAAGGAAUCGAAAGGGUUUGAACAAUUCGUGAACAACUCUCGAACCGGUGUAACUUGGUAAAAAAGAAUCGCACGGCAAUGAACUACGGAGUCAUUUUACAGUUCGACUAUAGUUCUUCUAAAAUUUGCUAAAGCGAAGUUCCUUAAUUCGACGAGACUCGAUCGACACCUAUUUCGUUCCCGGCUCUACACACACGGUGUGUAUUUACCGACGCUGUCUUGUAUUUACCAGCGCUAACCAAUCUUCAGGCGUUAUGUGCCUAUAGACUGGCAGACAAAUGUUAGCUGACACCGGAUCAUUGAUUUCGAUGAAACUCCUUUUCCCAGGGAUAGACCAGCCGAGACUCUUAUACACAAAACUUGAAAGGACGUCUGGCUCGUCAAUGCCGAAUAAAUUCAAUCGACCGAUUAGAAUUGCGGAUCUGAUUGCGGAAACGUUGGCCGCGCGAAACGUAAAACGGAGAACGCAGGAAAUCUAUUCAGGACUCGUUAACUAACAGACAUAACUCGCCCGAUCGGGUUCCAUUCGAAUAGAAUUCGUAAAUCGUGGAAACAACGGGGAAGAGUAAGCAACAUCGGCGGGGUCUGUCUUCUGCAAUUUAGAUUCGACAUCUUGAAGAGGACAAGUUGUCGGUUUCUUAUUUCCUGCACGCUGCAAAAUCAUUUUAGCGGAAAAUGGCCAACCCACGGUGAAAGCAGACGCAUCGAGCUUCAAAAUAAGCCAAGACCGGUCGUCGUGCGCUCAUUUCUCAAAAAGUUAUAGCUAUUUAGAUAUCGCCAAAAAAAAAAGGAGGAAACGAUAAAUAUCCUGGAAAAGCCAAACUGUGUCCCGUAUUAGGAAACCGUUCUCUGAACUAAGAGGCUGAAACGUCGCAAACCGCGAGCCGGGAAGCAGGGAAUUCCCGUGAGAAUUCCACGGGAAUUCCUGUGGAUCGCAUCGGUAGAUUCGCAGAGUCUCGGAGGAGCGGUCUCUCGCUGGUUUCGCCGCGGCGCGAGGCGACGCGACGCGACGUGGCGUGGGGUGAAAAAUUCGCGAGGCGUUCGGAGCAACAGUUGCUCCUGUUUUUACGCGGCCGUGAUCUGGAUCGGCGCGGUUCGUCGCGGAUCGAGCUGGAAAACGCGUUGCGGCCGGGCCGCGCGCGUUCCGCCCCCGCAUUAGCCGCGACCGCGGCGCGACGCGACACGCCAAGAUUCGAGGGUUACACGGAGAAGAGAGAAGAGAGCCUGGCGGCUGCCGGAGGCCAGCCGUUUAUUGAUCGGACACGCUCCGCAUGUUUGUGGAAAGUAGAUAACGUGUGCCGGCUUGCUUUCUCGCGAUCCGCCCGCGGAAAACGUCCCUCGUCGGCUUCCGUUCUCGUUCCGGCCGCGAUUUCGACCCACCCGCACGCCGAAUCGACCCUUUCGUUACCGAUCGAUCCGAUUCACGCUCUCGUUUUCGACGCGUUCGCGAACACGUCGUUCCGACCCCCAGCCAAUUCGAUGUUUCUGCCUCGGAUACGCGCGGAGCCUUUUUCCCCGCAGCCUGUCGUUCAACGCUAAAACCCGCCGACGGUUUCCAUACAGCUUGUCCGGAAAGGUUUCUGGACCAAGCCUUUAUAAGACAGCCCUGAAUUUCUGGCGUUUUUUUCACCCCUCGCCGUGCCAUUUUCUUCUAGAAUCGCAGCGAUCGGAACCUCGAUUCGAUCGCGAUGAUUUCCUCGAAGAAUAAAUGCUCGCCGAAACGUUCGCAGUCACAAAGUAUUUAAAUAUCGGUGGCAAGAGAAGCGUGUAGAACGUUUUUCUAUACGAAUAUAGAAGCGUGGACGACCGCAAAACGAAACUAUGGCGGCCGUACACGCCGAAUCCGACGUAAAUCGCGUAAUAUUCGCGAGCCGUAACCGAGUUUCGGCGAAUCAUCGAGCUCCCGAAUUUUGUGGGACGCGUUUUAGGACGCGUCCCGUCGCGUAUCGGACCGACGGAUCGCUAUCGCCAGACGAUAUACACUCUGUCAUUAGUAUCGAAGGGCGUUUGAUCGCGUUCUAUAUAUAAAUCGAGUAGCCGUGGUCGCGAGUUCGAGCUAAUUCAAGGUUCUAACGGCGCUGGUCCAACGGCGAAACGAUCCCCAAUGGAGGCCGAAACGUGCCCCGACAUUCGACAUCGAUCUUCGAAUUAAUUAACUAAUCGUUCUUGGCAUCGUACGAGCCGCUGAAACAAGCCAGUUUAUGUCUCUUCGUCGAAAUGACGAGCAUUUAUUUGUUCAGAUCUUUGGCUACCUUUUAUUCGAACUUGUCCAGCGAGAACAAUUUAUUGAGUAUAAAAAUACGAACGAACGUGUCUUUAUAAUAAUUAAUAAUAGUCGUAAUUUGAGACAUUUGAACGGCGUCAAAAUGACGCGUUCCGUGAAACAAGCGUCAAUUGAUACACCGUUCGUUCGACGACCAUCGAAUUCAAAAGACAAUUCUUGACGGAAUUAUAUUAAAAAUAUCCUUUCGAUUCUAUUUGAACGACAACAAUUAAUCGUCUCUUGCAAUCGUCGAUAGAUUUUAUCGAACCGACGACUUUCCGCCUCUCGUUGAUCGCUGUUUUUCGUCGAUGAUUCGUAAACGAAGCCGCGGAUAUCAUUUUCGCCAAGGAAAACGUAACUUCGAAUAACCCCAGGAAUCGUCGCUUUCCGGGUGUUGACAGAAUUAUGGGACACCCUGUAUAUUAACUUGCGCAUAAAUAUCGUCCUCGAUUGCGCUCAAUAAUUGCGCAUCGUGACCUAGAAGGGAGCCGAGCGGCCGCGAACCUGCGUGACUGAAUUUAUUUCUGCCUCCCCGGACCAUCAACACCUGCAUUAUUUAUCGCGCACGCGAUUCAUCAUAGAUAGCCGGGCCGCGGCGUUUCCAUGGGACAAACAGCCCGCGAAAGCUUUUCCGCGAACGUUACACUCGAAACAGUCGAAAUUGCACGGCUAGACGGUGCUCCAGUUUGCCAGCGAGUCGCUCAUGAGUUCCGAACCGCUCGCUGCUUCUGGCUCUCUUCGAGGAGGUCUUCCAGUUUCGAGGCGCCCCUUUUUCCCGCGGCCUUUCAUGCCGCUUUCUUCUCCGGAAUUCGGCGAACGGCGCAACACCUUUUAGAACGCAAUCAUUUUUCUCGAACCACCCGAAUUUCACGGAGACUCUUGCGACUUAGUUUUCUCGACUGAUAUGCACUGCUCGAAACGGUUACAGCCAUAGACAAAUCGUGGAGAAAAAUUGGCCAACUUCGACCGACGAUAACUCCGCGAAAAAUCAUCGCAGAACGAUGACGUUAUUUUCAAAUUAAAGCUUGGAAUCUCUGCUUUAAGAACGUCUUCCCUGAUUUCAAGCUCGACGCGCCCUCGCCGCUACAACCCUUUAAACGCGAGGCCGUGUUCAUCGCAUCGAAAAUUGCCAAG